rnacentral:rRNA from 1 species
UACAGAGGGUGCAAGCGUUGUUCGGAGUUAUUGGGCGUAAAGCGCGUGUAGGCGGCUUUGCAAGUCGGGUGUGAAAGCCCUCGGCUCAACCGAGGAAGUGCGCCCGAAACUGCAGAGCUUGAGUACCGGAGAGGAUGGCGGAAUUCCCCAAGUAGAGGUGAAAUUCGUAGAUAUGGGGAGGAACACCGGUGGCGAAGGCGGCCAUCUGGACGGAUACUGACGCUGAGACGCGAAAGCUAGGGGAGCGAACGGG